rnacentral:rRNA from 1 species
UACGGAGGAUCCAAGCGUUAUCCGGAAUUACUGGGCGUAAAGAGUUGCGUAGGUGGCAUAGUAAGUUGGUAGUGAAAUUGUGUGGCUCAACCAUACACCCAUUACCAAAACUGCUGAGCUAGAGGGCGAGAGAGGUAGCUGGAAUUCCUAGUGUAGGAGUGAAAUCCGUAGAUAUUAGGAGGAACACCGAUGGCGUAGGCAGGCUACUGGCUCGUCCCUGACACUAAGGCACGAAAGCGUGGGGAGCGACCGGG